CGAAACACUGUAAAAAGGAAAGUAGAACGUCCCCUGCGAUUACAGAGAAUCUUCAUUUGCUGAGAGAAGAUAUUGAAAGCACGUUUGAAAAUGGCCUUGGAGUGUUGAUGCCAAUAUGAGGUAUCACCGGGUUCGCCCGUUAUAGCGAUACAGUAUUAACAUGUUGUUAGAUGGCGUACUGGAAUUCCACGUAUACACCCUCACUGUAUACGCAUACUCUUAACGUACAUCGAACAAUUUGGCGUACUGGAAGAGGUUGCUUUAGUGAUAAAGUAACGAACAAAGGUGGUACCGCGAAAAAGCUUUCGUCCUUUAU
rnacentral:ncRNA from 1 species